AUAAAAAUAAGGCGUUAAUCGCAAUCUUUCAACAGGACAAAAAUUACUACUGACAAGAUAGCAGUGGUACGAAAAGCUGCAUCUACGAUUGUGGCUUUGAGAUUAUAACGUUUCACUCGUGUCAUCGUCAUGAUGUUCGCAUGCACGCUGGUGCGCACGCACGCACGCACGCACGCACAUGAUGCGCAAAAUCCGAACAGCAACCUCCCCGUAAUGCGUAUCGGGUCAUGCUAAUGCUGAUAAAUGCAUAGAAAUGAUUGCGUGCUGAUAACAUUCCGACUUUCAACAUAACCAAUCUGAAACGUUAAUCUCCCCCAAAAUUAGAUUAGAAAGAAAGGAAGGAAAGAAAGUUAUUAUUGCGAAAAAUAUUACCUCAGGG